rnacentral:rRNA from 1 species
GAUGAACGCUGGCGGCGUGCCUAAUACAUGCAAGUCGAACGAGGGCACUCACGUAGCAAUACGAGGGUGUUCCUAGUGGCGAACGGGUGAGUAACACGUUGGUGACCUGCCCCGAAGUGAGGGAUAACACCGCGAAAGUGGUGCUAAUACCCCAUGUGACCCGAGGGAUUAGAUGCCCUUAGUGGAAAGGCGAAAGCCGCUUCGGGAGGGGCCUGCGGCCCAUCAGCUAGUUGGCAGGGUAAUGGCCUACCAAGGCGACGACAGGUAGGGGUCCUGAGAGGGUGGCCCCCCACACUGGCACUGAAACACGGGCCAGACACCUACGGGUGGCAGCAGUAGGGAAUAUUGGACAAUGGGCGAAAGCCUGAUCCAGCAACGCCGCGUGCGCGAUGACGGCCUUCGGGUUGUAAAGCGCUUUUCGGGGGGAUGAGGAAGGACAGUACCCCCGGAAUAAGUCUCGGCUAACUACGUGCCAGCCGCCGCCGUAAAAC